UUGAACGCUGGCGGCAGGCCUAACACAUGCAAGUCGAGCGGAUGAAGGGAGCUUGCUCCUGGAUUCAGCGGCGGACGGGUGAGUAAUGCCUAGGAAUCUGCCUGGUAGUGGGGGAUAACGUCCGGAAACGGGCGCUAAUACCGCAUACGUCCUGAGGGGGAAAGUGGGGGAUCUUCGGACCUCACGCUAUCAGAUGAGCCUAGGUCGGAUUAGCUAGUUGGUGGGGUAAAGGCCUACCAAGGCGACGAUCCGUAACUGGUCUGAGAGGAUGAUCAGUCACACUGGAACUGAGACACGGUCCAGACUCCUACGGGAGGCAGCAGUGGGGAAUAUUGGACAAUGGGCGAAAGCCUGAUCCAGCCAUGCCGCGUGUGUGAAGAAGGUCUUCGGAUUGUAAAGCACUUUAAGUUGGGAGGAAGGGCAGUAAGUUAAUACCUUGCUGUUUUGACGUUACCAACAGAAUAAGCACCGGCUAACUUCGUG
rnacentral:rRNA from 1 species